rnacentral:snRNA from 1 species
GUGCUCACUUCGGCAGCACAUAUACUAAAAUUGGAACAGUACAGAAAAGAUUAGCAUGGCCCCUGCACAAGGAUGACACACAAAUUUGUGAAGCAUUCCAUAUUUUU